UACGUAGGGUGCGAGCGUUAAUCGGAAUUACUGGGCGUAAAGCGUGCGCAGGCGGUUGUGCAAGACAGAUGUGAAAUCCCCGGGCUCAACCUGGGAAUUGCAUUUGUGACUGCACGGCUAGAGUGUGUCAGAGGGGGGUAGAAUUCCACGUGUAGCAGUGAGAUGCGUAGAGAUGUGGAGGAAUACCGAUGGCGAAGGCAGCCCCCUGGGAUAACACUGACGCUCAUGCACGAAAGCGUGGGGAGCAAACAGG
rnacentral:rRNA from 1 species